rnacentral:rRNA from 1 species
UGAUCCUGGCUCAGAACGUACGCUGGCGGCACGCCUAACACAUGCAAGUCGAACGAAGUAGCAAUACUUAGUGGCAGACGGGUGGGUAACAUGUAGGUAUCUGCCCUUUGGCCUGGAAUAACACGAGGAAACUUGUGCUAAUACCGGAUAAGUCUUUACGGAGAAAGCUUUAUGCACCAUUGGAUGAGCCUGCACUUGAUUAGUUUGUUGGUGGGGUAAUGGCCUACCAAGACUGUGAUCAAUAGCUGAUUUGAGAGGAUGAUCAGCCACAUUGGGACUGAGACACGGCCCAAACUCCUACGGGAGGCAGCAGUGGGGAAUCUUGCACAAUGGAGGAAACUCUGAUGCAGCGAUGCCGCGUGAGUGAAGAAGGCCCUUGGGUUGUAAAGCUCUUUCGUCGGGGAAGAAAAUGACUGUACCCGAAUAAGAAGGUCCGGCUAACUUCGUGCCAGCAGCCGCGGUAAUACGAAGGGACCUAGCGUAGUUCGGAAUUACUGGGCUUAAAGAGUUCGUAGGUGGUUGAAAAAGUUAGUGGUGAAAUCCCAGAGCUUAACUCUGGAACUGCCAUUAAAACUUUUCAGCUAGAGUAUGAUAGAGGAAAGCAGAAUUUCUAGUGUAGAGGUGAAAUUCGUAGAUAUUAGAAAGAAUACCAAUUGCGAAGGCAGCUUUCUGGAUCAUUACUGACACUGAGGAACGAAAGCAUGGGUAGCGAAGAGGAUUAGAUACCCUCGUAGU